rnacentral:rRNA from 1 species
UGAGAGUCAGGCUGAAGACUUUACUUGACGAGCUGAGAGGAGGUGCAUGGCCGUCGCCAGCUCGUGCCGUGAGGCGUCCUGUUAAGUCAGGCAACGAGCGAGACCCUUGCCGAUAAUUGCUAGCCGCGGUAGCAGUACCGCGGAGGCUAGUUAUCGGGACUGCCGCUGCUAAAGCGGAGGAAGGAGAGGGCCACGGCAGGUCAGUAUGCCCCGAAACUCCUGGGCCACACGCGGGCUGCAAUGGUAGGGACAGUGGGUCCCAACCUCGACAGAGGGAGGCAAUCCUCAAACCCUACCCCAGUUGUGAUUGAGGGCUGAAACCCGCCCUCAUGAAUAUGGAAUCCCUAGUAACCGCGUGUCAUCACCGCGCGGUGAAUACGUCCCUGCUCCUUGCACACACCGCCCGUCGCUUCACCCGAGUUGGGUUUAGGCGAGGCCGGCUCUUGUUGGGCCGAUCGAACCUAAGUUCGGCAAGGGGGGAGAA